UACGUAGGGUGCAAGCGUUAUCCGGAUUCACUGGGCUUAAAGGGUUCGUAGGCGGUUAGGUACGUCCGUGGUGAAAUCCUGCAGCUUAACUGCAGACCUGCCAUGGAUACUAUCUAUCUUGAAUGUCGUGGAGGUUAGCGGAAUAUGUCAUGUAGCGGUGAAAUGCUUAGAGAUGACGUAGAACACCCAUUGCGAAGGCAGCUAACUACGCGAGAAUUGACGCUGAUGCACGAAAGCGUGGGGAUCAAACAGG
rnacentral:rRNA from 1 species